UCCAGGUGGCUGGGGACUUUCCUGUUCCUGUACUGCCCAGUAUGCAAGUUUUGCAUUGUCAGUAAAGCCCCUUUUCAGGCCAGGACGCUGGGAAAUGUGGCUGUUGGCACCAGGCAUCAAAUAGAAUAAUCCUGUCCCCCGGGAUGUUCACGUUACUGAGAGCCUCAACGCAUCUACUCAGGAUUACUUUCUGGACAUCUUCCUGAAAUUCUUUGGACACAGAGAUGUUCUGCCCUGUUCUUGGUGAUGGAAAACAAGAGCAUGAGCUCCUGUCAAUUGUGGGUGAACAAAAGAAGGAAUCACGUGGCUGUAUGCGGGGAAGGGAAAGAUGGCUCAGCAUAUCCUACAUUUAUUUCAUCGUAUCGAAUACGGAUCAUCAAAAACCAGGAAAGUAUGAGAAACUUUCAUGGCCAAGAGGAGCCCCAGGAGACAUGGCAACAAAACGUCAUGUGGCAUCCUGGAUGGGAUACUGGAUCUGAGAAAGCACAUUGGCGAAAACUCAGAAAAUCAGAAUAAAGUACUGAUGUGAGUUAAUAACAAUAUAUUAAAAUUUGUUUAUUAACUGUAAGAAAUGUACCAUACUGACAUAAGAUGUU